UCUCCGUUGGUGAACCAGCGGAGGGAUCAUUACUGGAAUCGCAAGAUCCCACAACCCUGUGAACCUACCGAAACGUUGCCUCGGCGGGUGCCCGGCCUCUGCGCCGGGCGCUGCGCCCGCCGGCGGCCCCCUACUCAGUCUCUGCAGCGUGGCAUCUCAGAGUCCCAGAAAACAAGUCAAAACUUUCAACAACGGAUCUCUUGGCUCUA
rnacentral:misc_RNA from 1 species